rnacentral:lncRNA from 1 species
UUUUUAGUACUCUCCUAUAAAGCCCUAAUAUCUCUCCACUUUCACUUCAUCAUCAAACAAUUUAGUAACCAUGUCUACUGCAUACUUUCUAGUGUUCUUCCUUGGGCUAUUGGUUCUCGCGAUUCCCGCGGCCGCCCAUGGUGGUUCUGCCUAUGACGAGGAGAGGCAGAAAACUCUUGUAGAUCGUUUUUAUGCUAGAAUCAAGAACAAGCCCACAACCAUUCAUUUAGCAGAGGAAGCAUCCAGGAAAACCACCAUGAACCAAGAGGGAGAACCUAAGUCCAAGCAAGCAGGUUGUCCACCGGCAGCAACUGCCAUGAAUCGAGCGGAGCAACCAGCUAAGCCCGCAGGUUGUCCACCGGGAGCAACCUGCAUGAAUGCAGCGGAGGAAUCACCUAAGCACAAGUCAGCAGGUUGCCCACCGGCGGCAACCACCAAGAAUCUAGCAGAACAACCAGCUAAGCCAGCUGGUUGUCCACCAGGAGCAACCUGCAUGAAUGCAGAGGAGGAAUCACCUAAGCACAAGUCAGCAGGUUGCCCACCAGCAGCAACCGUCAUGAAUAAAGCGGAACUUCCAGCUAAGCCGGCUGGUUGCCCACCGGGAGAAACCUCUAGGAAUGCAGCGGGAGAAGCACCUAAGUCCAAGCUCGCAGGUUGUCCACCAAAACCAACCUCCGUGAAUGAAUGGGAGAAACCACCUAAGCCAGCAACCGGCUCCGAUGCUGUGGUGAAAGGGCAUAACCCGGCUUCAAUACCAAAAGGGGGAAGUGAUUGACGACUUCUGUAAUAUUGUCAACAAUGUAGUUUCUACAAACAAAAUAAUAUUAUCAUGGAAAACUUUUAUUGCAAUCUAUGUUAAAUGAAAUCUUACCGUAAAAAUGCUUUCUAAAAUAUCUUGAUUGCCAUGUUUUGGUUA